UAAAAGCAGAACUAUAAUAUGAAACUUCCUGUAAGUCUGCAUUUAAGGGAGGAGGCAUGCCAGUAUUUCCUCCUUCCUCGCUCUCUGCUGUUUAGAAUGCAGAUGUAAUGGCUGGAGUUCUGGCAAUUAUAUCAGACCAAGAGAUGGGAGUAAGAUGCUGAGAUGGGAGUCUCAGCAAAGCCAGAAGCCUUGGUCCCCAAAGUCUCUGUGGAGUCACCAUUCCAACUCCGGACUGCCUACUUCUAGGCUUAUUUUGCAUACAUGAGAAACAUAUUCUUCUAUCUUGUCUAAACCACACUUGUUGUUGUUUUCUGUGUUGUGUACAACUGAACUUAAUCCUAAAGCAUGCAUUCAACAAUUAUUUUUAUUAAUUUAUAUAAUUAUAUGAUUAUAUUCACUUUCUGCUUCAUAAUAACUUUUAUCUAGAUUUUAAAAUCGAUUUAGUUUUAAUUAAUAAGUUUCAUUUUUUACAAGUUUUAGGCUCACAAUAAAAUUGAGCAGAAAGUACAGUUUCCACAUAACCAUCCCCCAACACACACCCAGCCCCUUCCACCACCAACAUGUCACAGUAUGUUUUGUUACAACUGAUGAAGUAAUAUUGAUGCCUCAUGUUCAACCAAAGUCCACAGUUUACAUUACAGUUCGCUCUUUGUGACCAAAGCCCACAGUUUACAUAUGGUUCACUGUUUGUGUUGUACAGUCUGUGGGCUUUGACAGAUCUAUCAUGCCAUGUAGCUACCCUUUCAGUGUCAUUCAAUAUAGUUCCAUUGGCUUAAAAAUCCCGUGUUCCAUCUAUUAAUUCCUCCUUCCAUCUUCCCAAAACCCUGGCAAACACUGAUCCUUUACUGUCUGCAUAAUUUUACCUCCCCAGAAUGUCUUAUAGUUGGAAUCAUACAGUCUGUAGCCUUUUCAGAUUGGCUUCUUGCACUUAGUAAUAUGCCUUUAUGCUUCCUCCGUUUCUUUUUUGUGGCUUAAUAGCUCUUUUUCUUUUUUAAGUGCUCAAUACUAUUCCACUGUAUGAAUAUACUACAGUUUAUUUAUCCAUUCACCUAUUGACGGACACCUUGGUGGCUUCUAAGUUUUGGCAAUUAUGAAUAAAGCUGCUAUAAACUUUUGUGCAGAGGUUUCUGGGUGGACCUAAGUUUUCAACUCAUUUGGGAGAAUAUCAAGGAGCAUGAUUGCAGAAUGAUAUGAUAAAAGUGUGUUUAGAUUUGUAAAAAACUGCCAAACUGUUUUCCACAGUGGUCGAACCAUUUUACAUUUUCACCAGCAAUGAAGGAGGGUUCCUGUUGCUCUACCAUUUGGUACUGUCAGCGUUUUGGAUAUUAGCCGUCCUAAUAGAAAAGAGUGAGUAACUAGUGGCCUUUAGAUGAGCCAACCGCAAGCCUGGACUCAUCUUUGACAUCUCCUGCUUCCCUCCAUAAUGACCGUCGUUGCUCCUCUUGCCCAAGCCUUUGCAUGGAUGAUUGUCUGUCCUCUGUUGGGCCCCUUCUGAAGAGUUGGAGUUGGUUGCAAACUAUAGAAACCAUUUGGGCUGGUUUGAGCAUAAAAGGAAAUUACUGGGAGUUAUUAGGUGCUCGGUGAUUCAUUGGGAGGUCUGGCAAAAAAGAAGCUCAAGGCUAAGCUCAUAGGAACACAGCCCGGCAUCUCACACAGAAGUGGCUUGAUGAGGAUUCUACUGCCUCCACAGCUCCUGCCAUCAUCUUCAUCUGCACCAUAGAUGCUCAGAACCCAGUCUGUGUCUGCAUGUUGCUGACUUCCAAAUGAGAGCUUCAUGAGAGUGUAUUUGGUUGGUAGAACAUAGGUCCCAGACCUUCUCCCUGGGAGCUGGAAGAGAUGCUGGGAAAUUCUGCCCUGGAAAAAUAAAACUCACAAUGUGGGAAACAAAGAAAAUGUACAGCAGGGGUUUAACAGAAUGACAGCUACAGUUUAGACUCCUGUGGUACAGUUGGCUUUCCCAGGCUCCCGGCGUCCAUGCUGUCUCGGCGCUAUCUCGCAGCCUGACGCCACGCGCCAUCUGCUGGCCUUGAGCUGCAUAGCUCUAGAGUAACUUCAGAGGCCACGGGGGAACAAAGAGCACUCGCCUACUUGACUGAGCUCCGACAGGCCGUCCCUCUGCUUCAGGUGUAGGCGUGAACAAGUCCAGACCACUACCUUAACAGGUAUGAGGAAAAUGAAGACUCUCCUAUUUUGGCACGUAUCUCAAAAUUGUCAUCAUUCACUUAAAGUGCAUAACCACAGAGACCUUCCUACUUAUUUUCUCUGGUGUUUUGAAGUUUUGUCAUGGGAAGAAAAUAGCGCUUCUAGAAACAUGAACUAGACUAAUUACUAAUGGAUUCUUUCUCUUACAUUUUGUACAGUGGAAUAAGGGCUAUUAAUUCAUUAAGCAGUUGGCUUGGAACCUUCUCUGACGACUCUUUGCAAAGAGAGAGAGGUCUAGAAGACUUGUGGGAAGGGAGGAAGUGGUGGUACCUGAUAUUUUCCAAUUUUCCGCAGGUCACUGAUGGGAACUUUGACCAGCAUCCUUGUUCCUCCCUCAACUUAUGGUCACCCUAAAAAAGCUAAGGCAUAGAUUUCAAAUUCUGGAGCCAGUUUUUGUAUUUAGGUCUCCAAGUACAGAGAGAAACUGGCAGACAGGGGUGGAGAAGUAUUGAGAACGAAUUCGGACACCCUGAAAGCGGAGUUCUAGAUCCAGUGUUGCCAGCAACGAGCCAAGAGACCUUUCUUCACAAGUUGAUUUACCUUUCCAUGUUUCAGUUUUCUCAUAAUUCCUGCCCUUAUUCCCUUCUCACCACCCCUGAUCCCCUCCCCUUUCCUGAUUGGGUAACAGGACAGGAAGCAGCAGAGCAUUCUAUGAAGCUUCCUCCUCAACGUCCUAGAGUAGCGGGUCUCAGUCUUCACUACACAGUCAAGUCCCAUGGUGCAUUUUUCAAACUUGCAUACCUGGCCCUUCCUGUGCUGAAUUCUGGUCUGCCCAUAAUUUGCUCCCUCCUUUCUCACUGUUUUCCUUUCUCCCUUCCUUGUUUUCUUUCCUAUCCCUUGCUGUCUCUGUUAGAACUUCUUUUUCCUGGUAUCUAGCCAAUCUCUUAACCCUGUUUUACUUUACUGUCCUAAGAUGCUGUCUUCUCAUGCCUACAUGUACUUUCUUUAAAAAAAAAACUGUUUAAAAAACAUUGUGUGGGAGGAGCCAAGAUGGCCAAAUAGGAACAGCUCCAGCCUACAGCUCCCAGCGUGAGCGAUGCAGAAGAUGGGUGAUUUCUGCAUUUCCAUCUGAGGUACCAGGUUCAUCUCACUAGGGAGUGCCAGACAGUGGGCACAGGUCAGUGGGUGCACGCACCAUGCGCGAGCCGAAGCAGGGCGAGGCUUUGCCUCUCUCAGGAAGCCCAAGGGGUCAGGGAGUUCCCUUUCCUAGUCAAAGAAAGUGGUGACAGACGGCACCUGGAAAAUCGGGUCACUCCCGAAUACUGCGCUUUUCCAACGGGCUUAAAAACUGGCGCACCGGGCCGGGCGCGGUGGCUCACGCCUGUAAUCCCAGCACUUUGGGAGGCCGAGGCGGGCGGAUCACGAGGUCAGGAGAUCGAGACCAUCCCG
rnacentral:lncRNA from 10 species